GACGAACGCUGGCGGCGUGCCUAAUACAUGCAAGUCGAACGCUGAAGCUUGGUGCUUGCACCGAGCGGAUGAGUUGCGAACGGGUGAGUAACGCGUAGGUAACCUGCCUGGUAGCGGGGGAUAACUAUUGGAAACGAUAGCUAAUACCGCAUAAGAGUAGAUGUUGCAUGACAUUUGCUUAAAAGGUGCAAUUGCAUCACUACCAGAUGGACCUGCGUUGUAUUAGCUAGUUGGUGAGGUAACGGCUCACCAAGGCAACGAUACAUAGCCGACCUGAGAGGGUGAUCGGCCACACUGGGACUGAGACACGGCCCAGACUCCUACGGGAGGCAGCAGUAGGGAAUCUUCGGCAAUGGACGGAGGUCUGACCGAGCAACGCCGCGUGAGUGAAGAAGGUUUUCGGAUCGUAAAGCUCUGUUGUAAGAGAAGAACGAGUGUGAGAGUGGAAAGUUCACACUGUGACGGUAUCUUACCAGAAAGGGACGGCUAACUACGU
rnacentral:rRNA from 1 species